GUGGCGCUGUUACCAAAUUGAUGUGGCAUGGUCAGUCUGAGGUGACAAUGGCACAUACAAAGUUUGGUACAAAUAUGUCAAAGCUUUGCCGAGAUACAGCCUCAGAUAUAUUUUGGCAUCUUACGAACAAAUUCGUUGAUGUGCUAAACGAAAACCGUUUGGUAUAUCAACACAAAAUCCAUAACUUUUUGUCAGCUUAGUCUGAAGAUGAUCCGAACCAAAUUUGGUGAAAAUCGGACUAACGGUCUAGGAGGAGUUCGAAAAAGUAGGUUUUCAACUUUAAUCAAAAUGGCGGACAGGAAGUAUGGCCAAUUUUGGAAUAAUUGGUAUCGAUGUUCUCGGCAUGACCCAAAGAAUAUAUAAACAUGACUUUUAUUGCAAUAGUCUAAUUUUUUCAAAAGUUAUUAGCAUUUUUAAGAUAUUUCAUUAUAACUUUUGACCACAAGGUGGCGCUGCCACCAAACUUUUUGAGUAGCUUCAGGGCAUGGAGCCAAACAUUUUUGUAAUUAUUUUCGUAACGAUACGAUAAUGCGUUAAAA
ensembl:lncRNA